rnacentral:rRNA from 1 species
UCCUACGGGAGGCAGCAGUGGGGAAUAUUGCGCAAUGGGCGAAAGCCUGACGCAGCAACGCCGCGUGCGGGAUGACGGCCUUCGGGUUGUAAACCUCUUUCAGCAGGGAAGAAGCGAAAGUGACGGUACCUGCAGAAGAAGCGCCGGCUAACUACGUGCCAGCAGCCGCGGUAAUA